AAACUGGGUAAUUUCUUCGCUCACUGGCGGAAGGUGCACUGUGCAUAAGUGUAGUCAUACCAGUGAUUUCUGGCGCCGGGUCCUCUCAAGACCUAAAUUUCAUAAUCAUACCAGCGACAACACAAUGGAGCUAUUGGUCUUCAGACCACCGAACUGGUUGAUCUACUUGGACCCUGGGAUCUGGAUGGAACUUGAUUUUCUUUACUUCAGUUUCGAAGAGGAUAGGUAACUAGAGAAGAUGGAAAUAAACGGUAAUAGAAUGUUAGUGUAACUUGAAUGUUAGUUUAACUUGAUCAGUUCUCCUCGGAGGUAUGCAGGACCUGGACAAAUGUCAUCGCUGAGGCAUAUGCAAUUGCUGAUGCAAUUGCUGAUGCUGGGCUUGUAAUGUAUCGCGGAUUAACUUUUGGU